rnacentral:piRNA from 1 species
GAUUGGACAGGCUCCUUGAUUGCCAC